CAAGAUUUGCCCAUUUCUCAAUGUUUGCUGUGGACGACGUUUUGGGCAGGAAAGUUUCUGCGGCAGAUGUGAUUAAUGACUGUCGCUUGGGCUGGGCUGAAUUCGUUCCUACRACGGAGGGGGAUGCACAGUCUGUGCCCCAGAAAUCUUGCAAUCAGAAGCUGUGCUGUGGGAGCACCAUCAUGCAAAACCAUACUGAUGCUCUGUUGCCAAAGGCCCAGGAGCGCGGUGACAGCACAUGUGCGGCAACUGCCUCCAUGCUGAUUUCCAGUGUUCGUUGGCUGCUGUGAUGGUUUCCUCCUGUGUCCUUUUCCCUUUCCUUGGCCUGCAGGAGCCAGUCCACAGGCCAAGACCCUAAUUACAAGCUUGCAGCAUUAGGAAGAUGCCAGCUCCCCUGGAGAAGGAGCUGCUAAUUGGGCGGGCGAGACGCUGCCCGUGCGUGGUUUAGCCGCUCGCCCAGGAAUGUGCAGGGUGCUCCCUGUCCCGUGAUCUCCCCCUGCUUCCCAGGGCAGCAGCAGCACCAGGAAUCCACGUUUUGGGGCACAGAACCAGCUCUGGGGGUGUCAAACCAGCYGCUGCUGACG